UAGGGAAUAUUGGUCAAUGGAGGCAACUCUGAACCAGCCAUGCCGCGUGCAGGAUGACGGCCCUCUGGGUUGUAAACUGCUUUUAUACGGGAAGAAAAAAUACUACGUGUAGUAUAUUGACGGUACCGUAAGAAUAAGGAUCGGCUAACUCCGUGCCAGCAGCCGCGGUAAUACGGAGGAUCCAAGCGUUGGCCGGAUUUAUUGGGUUUAAAGGGUGCGUAGGCGGAUCUUUAAGUCAGUGGUGAAAGC
rnacentral:rRNA from 1 species